UCAGCAAGUUCCAAAACAAAACACAAGACAAAAUCCCAGCAGCAGAAUCAAUAGGAACAGCCAAGUAACUAUUCAAAGCACCACCACAGGCCGAUGGCUUUCAGGUCAGCUUCAUAGCCACCAAAGUAAUUGAUGAUCCAAGCACAUGAAACCUUUCGGUUGUACCCAAACAUUGAGCCACACAGAGCUUGGUAUCUGUGUUUUAAUUGGGUGUUGUUUUCCUAUUCUAUGAUCAAUAAGGUAAUAAUACAAUAAUACAAUCUCAAUCUCUCUCUCUCUCUCUGUCUCUCUCUGCAUACAUUGUUAAAUACAGCCAGCAGCAGCUACUAUUCAGUAUGAGUUUUCUCUUUCCAAGCCCCUUCUCUUAGUGGUUUGAAACAGGCUCAUUAGCUGGAAGAAUCUUGGGGCACACCCAUUGUAGAGUCAUUGGGUACGUAUGGUCUUCAGAUUACCGUGGCCACAGCUUUGUCAACUUGAUGUGGCUUGGCUUUGAUGUCAGUGUCUGAUAAGCCUGUUCUCAUGAGGCCCGGGGCCAGUUUUGGGCUCUGCUUCAUCUCCUAGCCAGUGCUUUAGAGUUUUUAUUUAGGCAGCUGCUCAUUUGUAGCUUGUGUACCAAUGGGCACAGACUGUUUUAUACUGCAGAAGUAGCCCCUCAAAUCUUGAUGGCUUAAAAUUUUACAACAUUUCUUCCUUAAGCUUGUGACACAUUAGCUAGGGGUCUCUGUGUGGUGUUCGCGUGAACAAGAUAGCUACCAUUUUGAGCACUUCUGGUGGCUUUGAUAUGAAGAAAUAGAGUGUGCCUGCCACAUACUGGCUGUUGAAAUUGUCACCUGAUACUCCUCUUUUCCUUACCUUCUCUCUCCACAGUGAAAUCACAUGGUGUCACAAACCACUUCAGCAGAGGUGGACUGAGGAAGCUCACCGAAGCCUGCUUUUCACCUGUGAAGAGUCAGGAACCAAGGAUCUACGACACCUAAGCAGCCAGGUCACAUUUCUCCCGUGGUUCUCAUCAAUGUGUGUAGCUCAUGCCUGUAAUCCCAGCAUUCUGGAGGCUGAGGCAGCAGGAUCACCACGAAGCCAAACUAGACUACAUAGUAAGCUCCUGUUUAAAAAAAAGCCAAGAAAAGACAAAAAAAGAAAGAAAGAAAUGGCUCUGUGGAUUUGAAAAGUUGCUUUGAUAUCUAUCAUUGUCUCAAUUUUUUUUCUUUAGAGAGAAUUGCUCUCAAUUGCUAUUAUGUGUUUUGACGUAGACAGCUAUUUUCAGUAACUUUGGCUUUUGGUGUUGCAAGAUAUAUUAAACCUCUGUCCCGCUUGUCAUUUGUUGUAUUUCCUUUGUGUCUCCAAACCAUUCAACUAGUGGACCCCACAUACUCUAUGCUUUAUGUAAUUUUAAAAUUGUCAACUAUUAUUAAAGGUGGAAUAAUUGA